GUCAAACAGCAAUUAGCAUCACACCACCACGUAACACUUGUUCUGAAAAAAUGGUACUGAAGAACAUUAGUGAAGUGCAGUACAGCCCACAGAAUAUUUACACUCUGGCUUGGAGAGCUGUGACAAGCUGAAAUUCAAAUGAAUAGGGCUUGCCCUGGCCUCCUCCUAAUACAUGCUGUGCUGAUUAA